rnacentral:lncRNA from 1 species
UGAGCUGGGUGCAGUGAUGGGCACCAGUAAUCCCAGCUACUCGGGAGGCUGAAGCAGGAGAAUUGCUUGAACCCGGGAGGUGGGAUUUGCAGUGAGUCAAGAUCGUGCCACUGUACUCCAGCCUGGGUAACAGAGCAAGAAUCCAUCUCAGAAGAAAAAAAAAAAAAAAAAAGAUGCGUUAUUAUAGCUAAGAUGGUAAUUCUCCCAAAACUAAUCUAUAUAGAUUCAUUACAUUCCCUAUCAAAAUAACAGCAGGCUUUUUUCAGAAAUUAACAAGUUUAUUCUAAAAUUCACAUAAAAAUGCAAAAGACCCUGAACAGACAAAAGUACAGAUUUGGACAACUUCUAUUGCCAGAUUUAAAAAUUAUGCAAAAGAUUUAAAUACACAUUUCACCAAAGAAGAAUGGCUAAUAAGAACAUGAAAUAUUUCCUACUCCAUUAGUCAUUAAGGAAAUGCAAUAAAACCACAAUGAGAUAAUUUUACUUUCACAAAAAUGGUUUUAAUAAAAGACAGUAAUAAAUGUAGACAAAUAUGUAGAAAAUCACUAACCCUCAUAUAUUGCUGAUAGGAAUGUAAUGUAGUACAGUCACUUUGGAAAAGAGUUUGCCAGAUUCUUAAAAAGUCAAAUUACCAUAUUAUCCAAAAAAUCCUACAUAAGAGAAAUGAAAGCACGUCCGCUUAAAUAUUUCCACAUGAAUGUCAACAGACGCAUAAUUGAUAAUUGCCAAAACACAGAAACUACUUAAAUUCCCAUCAAGUGUUUAAUGGAGAAAGAAAAUGAGACAUAUUGACACAAUUGAAUAUUAUUUACAAAUAAACUAAAUGAAAGGCUGAUACAUAUAAUAAUAUAGACAAACCUCAAAAUAAUUAACCCAUGUAAAAGAACUGAGACAUAAAAUACUAUAUGUUAUAUGAUUCUAAUUGUAUGGAAGGUCCAGAAAGGGCAAAUCAACAUAGAUGAAAGUAGAUUAGUAUUUGCCUGGGGGUGAGGAUGGGAACAAAGGUUAACUGUAAAGUGGUAUGAAAAAUGUUACUGGGGUGGUAAAAACAUUACAAAACUGGAAUAAUGGUGUUAGUUGCAGAACUCACUAAAUUUACUAAAAAUAAUUUAAUUGUACCCUUAAAAUGAGUAAAUUAUAUAAGUUUUGCCCAAAUAAAGUUUUUUUUUAAAUUGUAAUGGUCUAAACACCACCAGUAAAAGGAUGAACACUGUCACAUGGAAUAAAACACAAGCCAACCCACCUAUCUAUUUAGCCUACUUACCUACCUAAAAACCCAACCACCCACCUACUUACUGUGAAAUACAUACAUACACAAACUAUAAAGGCAUACAAUGAUUAAAAGUACAAGGGUGGAGAAAGAUACAGCAUAAAACACUAACCAAAGAAAUAGGUUGAAAAUAUUUAUUAAUAUGAAACAAAAUAGACAUCAGAACAGGAAAGAUUAUCAAAGGAUAAAGAGAAACCUCAUGAAAAGACAGUUAUUUCCCCAAGAACACAUAAUAAUCUUAUAGGUAUACGCACCUAAUCAAAGGUUUUCAAAAUGAAUAAGACAAUAAAUGAGGUAUGAAAAAACAAGUAGGCAUAUCUAAAAUUAGUUUGAGAUUUGAACACUGCUAAGAAAUUAAUAAAACAAGUAAAAAAUCACAAAUGAUAUGGAAGGCCUGAACAUUACUAUCAAACAACUUCAUAUAAUGAUAGAACACUUUAAGCAACAACAGAAUACAUAUUCUUCUCAAUUAUAUGUAGCAUUCACAAAGACAGAUCAUGUUUUGGCUUAUUAAAUAAACCUCAAUUAAUUAUUUAAACAUAGAAAAAAAUACAAGGUGCAUCCUGAGAUCAUACAAAUUAGAAAUGAAAAAAAAAAAUCUGGAAAAUUCCCUCAAACAAUUGGAUAUGAAACAAGAAACUUUCAAAUAACACAUAGGUAACAAACAAAGUCUCAUGAGAAAUUAAAACAUGGAUUGAACUAAAGAACAAUAUAAAUACAAUAUAUCAAAACAUAUAGGAUGCAGACAAAGCAGUGUUAACAGGGAAGUUUAUAGCAUUCAAUAUAUACAUUAAAAAAUAAUAUCUAAAGUCAGUAACCAAAGUUUGUCUCAAAGGAACCAGAGAAAGAAGAGCAAAGUAAAUAUAAAGCAAGAUGAAGAAAGGGAAUAAUAAACAUUGAGAGCAGGAAUCCAAAACAAAAAACGAAAAAACAGAAACAUACAAAAGAAAGAAAUCAAUAAAACCAAAAGCUGAGGCUGGGCACGGUGGCUCAUGCCUGUAAUCCCAGCACUUUGGGAGGCCAAGGCAGGUGGAUCACCUGAGGUCAGGAGUUCGAGACCAGCCUGGCCAACAUGGCGAAACCCCAUCUCUACUAAAAAUACAAAAAUUAGCCGGGUGUGGUGGCGGGCGCCUGUAAUCCCAGCUACUCCGGAGGCUGAGGCAGAAGAAUCGCUUGAACCCAGGAGGUGGAGGUUGCAGUGAGCCGAGAUCAUGCCAUUGCACUCCAGCCUGGGCGACAAGAGCAAGACUCUGUCUCAAAAAAAAAAAAAAAAAAAGCUGAUUAUUUGACAACACUGACAAAACUGAACAACCUCUAGCCAGGCUCACAGAAAUAGAGAAGAUAUAAAUCAUCAGUACCAUAAAAUGAUGCCAAAGACAUUAAGAGGAUAAUGAAGGAAUACAAUUCUAUGCCUAUGAAUUUGCUAAGUUACAUGAAAUGGAAUGAUUAUGUGAAAGACACAGACUACCAAAAUUUGCCAAGAAAACCUGAAUAGCUCUAUUUCUAGUAAAUAAGUUAAAUUGAAAGUUAUAAACCUCCUAAAGAUAAAAACUGUAGGCCUACAUGGUUUCAAUGGUGGAUUCUACCAAACAAUCAAGGAAGAAACAAUAUCAAUUCUACACAAUUAGUUCAUUAAAUAGAAGGGGAGAAAACAUAUUCCAAUUACGAGGCUAGCAUUACCCUGAUCACAAAAGCAGAGAAAAACAUUACAACAAAUGAGAAUUACAAAUAAACCCAGACAUUUACGUUAAAGUGGCUUUUGACAAAGGUACCAAGAACGUACAAUGGAGAAAGGACAGCCUCUUCAGUAAAUGGUGUUGGGAAAGUUGUAUAUCCACAUAUAGAAGAAUCAAAUCAGACCUUUGUCUCAUACCAUAUACAGAAAAGAACUCAAAAUGAAUUAAAGACAUUAGACCAGAAACUGUAAAACUACUAGAAUAAAACAUAGGGAAAAUGCUCCACAACAUUGGUCUGUGCAAAGAUUUCAUAAAUAUGACCUCCAAAAGCACAGACAACUAAAACAAAAAUUUUAAUUUAAAAUGGGAUUGCAUCAAACUAAAAAGUUAACUACACAGCAAAGGAAACAAUUGAGUAAAGCAACAACCCACAAACUGGGAUAAAAUAUUUGCAAAUCACAUAUGAAAUAAUGAGCUAAUAUUCAAAAUAUAUGGAACUCCAACAAUUCAAUAGCAAGAAAACCAAGAACCCAAUUUAAAAAUGGGCAAGGGACCUAAACAUACAUUUCUCAAAAGAAAACAUACAAAUGGUCAAUGGACAUAUGAAAAACUGUUCAUUAUCACUUGCAAAUUAAAACCACAAUGAAGUAUCACCUCAUACCUGUUAGCAUGGCUAUUACCAAAAACAAAAAAGAUGUUAAGUGUUGGUGAGGUUGUGUACAAAAGGGAAUCCUUGUGCAGUUGGUGAAGAAUGUCAAUUAAUAUAGCCAUUAUGGAAAACAGUACAGGUUCCUCAAAAAACUAAAAAUAAAUUUACAGAUAAUUCAACAAUCUCCCUUUUGGGUACAUAUCCAAAGGAAUUGAAAUCAGUAUGUCAAAGAGAUAUCUGCACUCUUGUGUUCAUUACAUCAUUAUUUGCAAUAGCUAAGAUAUAGGAGCAACUUACAUGUCCAUCAUCAGAUAAAUGAAUAAAGAAAAUAUGAUAUACGUACAUAACAGAAUACUAUUCAGCCUUAAAAAAGAAGGAAAUCCUGUUAUUUGUGACAACAUGGAUAAACCUGGAGGACAUCAUGUGAGUGAAAAAAGCCAGGCACCAAAAGACAAAUACCACAAGAUCUCACUUAUAUGUAGAAUCUAAGAAAGUCAAACUCAUAGACAUAGAGUAGAAUAGUGGUUACCAGUGACUGGAAAAGUGAGGUGGACGGGGAAAGGGGAGAUGUUGAUCUACUGCACACAAUGGUGAGUAUAAUAAAUAAUAAUGUACUGCAUUUUUCAUAAUUGCUAAUAGAUUAGAUUUUAAUUGUUUUCACCAUUAAAAAACUGGUAAGUAUGUGAGGUAAUGGAUUUAAUUAGGCUGAUUCAAUCAUUCCAUGAUAUAAACAUAUAUCAAAAUAUCACACUGUGCCCCAAAUAUAUAAUAUACACAGUGUUUAAAAAAAAUUUAAAUAGGAAACUACAAGUCAAUCUAAUGGGCAUAAAUAGAAACUUGUCAACAAAAUAUUUACAAAUCAAAUCCAGCAAUAUAAAAAAAUGAUAGGCCAGGCAUGGUGUGAGCCACAGCACCCAGACUGUUUUGUUUU